rnacentral:rRNA from 1 species
CCUACGGGUGGCAGCAGUAGGGAAUAUUGCUCAAUGGGGGAAACCCUGAAGCAGCAACGCCGCGUGGAGGAUGAAGGUUUUCGGAUUGUAAACUCCUUUUGUUAGAGAAGAUAAUGACGGUAUCUAACGAAUAAGCACCGGCUAACUCCGUGCCAGCAGCCGCGGUAAUACGGCGGGUGCAAGCGUUACUCGGAAUCACUGGGCGUAAAGAGGGCGUAGGCGGGAUAGCAAGUCAGAUGUGAAAUCCUAUGGCUUAACCAUAGAACUGCAGUUGAAACUGUUAUUCUAGAGUAUGGGAGAGGUAGGUGGAAUGCUUGGUGUAGGGGUAAAAUCCGUAGAGAUCAAGAGGAAUACUCAUUGCGAAGGCGACCUGCUAGAACAUAACUGACGCUGAUGCGCGAAAGCGUGGGGAGCAAACAGGAUUAGAUACCCCAGUAGUC